AGCGGCGGACGGGUGACUAAUGCCUAGGAAUCUGCCUGGUAGUGGGGGACAACGUUUCGAAAGGAACGCUAAUACCGCAUACGUCCUACGGGAGAAAGCAGGGGACCUUCGGGCCUUGCGCUAUCAGAUGAGCCUAGGUCGGAUUAGCUUGUUGGUGAGGUAAUGGCUCACCAAGGCGACGAUCCGUAACUGGUCUGAGAGGAUGAUCAGUCACACUGGAACUGAGACACGGUCCAGACUCCUACGGGAGGCAGCAGUGGGGAAUAUUGGACAAUGGGCGAAAGCCUGAUCCAGCCAUGCCGCGUGUGUGAAGAAGGUCUUCGGAUUGUAAAGCACUUUAAGUUGGGAGGAAGGGCAGCUAGCGAAUACCUGGUUGUUUUGACGUUACCGACAGAAUAAGCACCGGCUAACUCUGUGCCAGCAGCCGCGGUAAUACAGAGGGUGCAAGCGUUAAUCGGAAUUACUGGGCGUAAAGCGCGCGUAGGUGGUUUGUUAAGUUGGAUGUGAAAGCCCCGGGCUCAACCUGGGAACUGCAUCCAAAACUGGCAAGCUAGAGUAUGGUA
rnacentral:rRNA from 1 species